AGAAUAGAACCCGGAAGUUAAGCGUGCUCAGGCUGGAGUAGUGAGAGGAUGGGUGACCGUCCGGGAAGUUAGAUGAUUUGGAAUGAUGAGGGGUGAUUAAAGAUUAGAGCAUAAAUUGAGCAAUGAUGAGGGGUGGUGAUUAGAGAUUAGAGGUUAAAAUAAUUCAGAAAU